rnacentral:SRP_RNA from 1 species
GCCAGGGCGGUGGCAUGUGCCUGUAGUCCCAGCUACUCCGGAGGCUGAGGUGGGAGGAUCGCUUGAGUCCAGGAAUUCUGGGCUGUAGUGCACUGUGCAGAUCGAGUGUCUGCACUAAGUUCGGCAUCAAUAUGGUGACCUCCUGGGAGCGGAGGACCACCAGGUUGCCUAAGGAGGGGUGAACUGGCCCAGGUCGGAAACGGAACAGGUCAAAACUCCCGUGCUGAUCAGUAGUGGGAUCGCGCCUGUGAAUAGCCACUGCACUCCAGCCUGGGCAACAUAGCAAGACUCUGUCNNN